CGCCACUCGCCUUACGAGUGGUAGUGCCUGCCCAGUGCGCGGGAUGCGUAAAUGGCGGCUGUAACUUUGACGGUCCGAAGGUAGCGAAAUUCCUAGCCCUUUAAUUGAGGGCCUGCAUGAAGGUUUGACGAGGGCUACGCUGUGUCUUGUUUUUGGAAUUUGAAAUUUAGGGGAGGGUGCAGACGCCCUCGUAGUAAAGUUAGACAAGAAGACCCCGUGCAACUUUAAAGAGGGGUACCGCGUUUGAGUUUGUCUUAUUUUGUGGUGGGGCGCCAGGGAUGUAAAUGAAACCGUCUCUUGUAGAAAAAACGCGACACGUAAUGAUCCAGAAGUGUAUGAUAAUAGGAUAAGUUACGCCGGGGAUAACAGAGUAAUUCCGCAGUCGAGUUCGUAUCCACUGCGGAGAUUGCCACCUCGAUGUUGAAUUAUGAAUGAUCUCUCUACAGGUUGCAGCAGCUGAUGAAGUGGGUCUGUUCGACCUUUGAAAUCUU
rnacentral:rRNA from 1 species